GUUCUGCAGAAAUAUAUUCCGUUUAAUAAACAAAUGAUAGCACAGACACUGCAUACCUGCCUAGAUUGUGAAUGCUUUGGUCUUAGUGGCCAUAUAAUGAAGUUGUAUAUUAUAUGGGGUUAUGUUGCCUGGAUCUGGAUCCCUAAUAUUUCAAACAAAUGCGAUGACAUUUGAGACUCCCAAGUGAUACCUUUAAUUACUAUU